AGCAGCCGCGGUAAUUCCAGCUCCAAUAGCGUAUAUUAAAGUUGUUGCAGUUAAAAAGCUCGUAGUUGAAUUUCGGGGUUCUACCGUUGGUCGGGCUUUGUCUGUACUGGCGUGUAGAAUUUCUACCUUCUGGGGAACCAUCAUGUUAUUAAUUUAACGUGGUGGGAAACCAGGACCUUUACCUUGGAAAAAUUAGAGUGUUCAAAGCAGGCUUAUGUCUGAAUACAUUAGCAUGGAAUAAUAGAAUAGGACGGUGGUCCUGUUUUGUUGGUUUCUGAAUCACCGUAAUGAUUAAUAGGGAUAGUUGGGGGCAUUAGUAUUCAAUUGUCAGAGGUGAAAUUCUUGGAUUUAG
rnacentral:rRNA from 1 species